UUCGAGCGUCAUUUCAACCCUCAAGCUCUGCUUGGUAUUGGGCCGCGCCGGCAACGGCGGGCCUCAAAAACAGUGGCGGCGCCGGUCGCGUCCUCAGCGUAGUAAUUCUUCUCGCUGUUGGGCACGGUCGGCCGCUGGCCAGCAACCCCAAACUUUCUAUGGUUGACCUCGGAUCAGGUAGGGAUACCCGCUGAACUUAA
rnacentral:misc_RNA from 1 species